rnacentral:rRNA from 1 species
CCUUCCCUAUUCAUUGCGGGUUGGUUAUUUGUCAGUACGGGUUUAGCUUAUGACGUGUUUGGAAGUCCUAGGCCAAACGAGUAUUUCACGGAAAGCCGACAAGGAAUUCCGUUAAUAACCGACCGUUUUGAUUCUUUAGAACAACUCGAUGAAUUUUUUUUAUUUUUAUAA